ensembl:lncRNA
AUACCUUUAAACAAACUAAUAACAAUUUACACUGAUAAUCCUAUUAAAAAAUGUACACCACCCUGGAAUUUAAUGUAUUGUGUUACCUUUUUGAACAUCAGUGAAUGUGUGCACCUUAUGUAAUAGUCGUGUACGAGUCCCUCGGCUGUCCUCCGUGUGAAAAGAUGGAUCUCAUAUUAUAGUUACUGUUGGAAAGGGGUCAAAUAUACAGAAGAUGCAGGAAAAGUAAAGAAUGUGCAGGACCUGGAGGAUUUUUCUGAAGAACAGUGGGCAGUUUAACUGCUCAGGACAAACAAGGGACUCAUGAACAACCAUCACAACACAUAAAAAGAGUCGUGGAUCAUCCAGUCUUCUCUUGCGCCCACACUCUCGAUCUGAUGCCAGCUGGAGCCACCUCUUCAUCGUCCCCUCGACCGCCAUCUCUGCAGCAUUAGCCGUGAAGAGGUUUCUAUGAACUGCAGCUUUGGAAUAAUGACAUAUCGUAAGGUCAUUAUGAAUUUUAAGCAUUAAUUACACUUAUACCAUGGUCAGUGUGAAUACUGGAUUCUGAUUGGCUGGAAGGUGUGCAUUAUAACUGUUUAUUGCACAGGUAGUUCCACUCAAUUUGAUCACCGUGAUCAUUUCUAAAUCUAAACCUUAACACACUAUUGUAUCUCUGUGUCUGAUUUAUAUCAGGCAAAAUUCCAGAUCUAACGACCUAACUAAUAGUAAGUAACGGUUAUUUUAAACUUCUAAUCAAAGUUUGCGCUUCUAAACCAAUAACCAAUAACAGCUUUACUGUUAUUAAUUAUGGAAAGACCAUGGUAUAAGCGAGGUAAUCCAUGGCUAGGUGUGCAUUAAACGAUUUGAACGAGUGGUUCUUUUCCUCCACAUCAUGAAUUAAAAUCGUUUAAUGCACAUCUGGCCGUGGAUUACCCCUUACAUAUCAUCUGAGAGAGACAGCUAAUUCUGUAUGUAAACAGAUAUACUUACCAAUCACGACCUCUCCGAGUUGGAGAGCGGCCAAUGAAGUCUUUCCAUUGACUCCCCUCCAACUUAGGUUCUUUUCCAGGGAGUUAGCAAUCACCCUCUUCAAUAUGCGCCAGGUGCAGUCGAGCACAUCUACCCUGUCAAUACGCGCCAACCAGUUUACCUGAAACCGAUUUAAAACAAAAAUUAUAUACACUGAUAUAAAAAUAAAUAAUUAAUAAGAAUGUAUUGCCUCGUCAACUGUGUCAGUGCUUCUCACUACUCCUGCAGUUACCCUGCCCUGCAUGUUUUCCAUGUUUUGUUCCUCUACCGAAGAUUAGGUCAUAACUGUUCCCUCAUAUCAAAGUGGUGUUGAAUGUUGUGCUUUGAGUACGAGUGUGUCACCUUGAGAAAACAGAAACGCUCUCAGUAGCUGUGUAAUUGUGCAAGCAAUUGUUAACAAAAAAAAGAAAAGAAAAACGAUGUGAUGUCCUUAACCCUGCUACUCUUCUUCCGACAGAGGGAGACGAUG